rnacentral:rRNA from 1 species
GACGGAGGAUGACAGCGUUAUCCGGAAUGAUUGGGCGUAAAGCGUCCGCAGGUGGCAGUUCAAGUCUGCUGUCAAAGACCGGGGCUUAACUUCGGAAAGGCAGUGGAAACUGAACAGCUAGAGUAUGGUAGGGGCAGAGGGAAUUCCAUGUGUAGCGGUGAAAUGCGUAGAGAUAUGGAGGAACACCAGUGGCGAAGGCGACUUUCUGGUCUGUAACUGACACUGAGGCGCGAAAGCGUGGGGAGCAAACAGG